rnacentral:lncRNA from 1 species
GGAACUCACUCACAGUUCCUGUCGGGAUUAAACCGGGCAUCCAAGUGGCGCGCCUCAGGUUGACUCUCAGACCUAGCUGCUGUCUCUGGGAUGGAAGAUCCCAUCUCAACAUCCUCCAUGUAUAGCACAGAACAAUCCUUGUUACCCAUCUCGUUUUCUCGCCAAAGAGAAUCUGUAGAACAAAGCAAUUUAGACUACUCAAGUACAUUGGCCAUUCCCAGUUGUCUUUGACAGUUCUUAAUUAGAGUAAAAACGGACACAGUCAGCAGUAGGAACAGUUUUUCGGGACAUUUGGGAAUUUGUACAAAUAUACUUUAGAGGAAAAAAAAAAAAAAAGAAAGACAAACUGUUUGGCUUCUGCAUCAUUUAUUAUGUGUGCGCCCUUGAAUCUGGUGUAAAGUGCCUGGGAUGAAGAUUGGUUUCUGCUAUUGUACAGCCAAAGGGGUAGCCAUUGCACUAUGGUCUCAGUUACAUGGUGAACUUGUAAAUAAGUCAGGCAUUAAAAACUUCCAGUGGCAUCCUUGGCUGAGAGUCCGUCUUAGUCACUGUGAAGUAUUUGCUGCAUGACCUAAAGAUGGUACCAUAACAUACAUAGCCUUGGCUUUCUCAUCUGUAAAAUGGGAUCGAUGGCCAGGAAUGAGCUGUGUGGGAGCUCUCUCAGACACACCUCCACUCCCAGAAGACCCCAGGACCUAAGGCUCAUUGAUGAUAAUUCUCAAAACAGAAAGGACACAUUGAACACACACACACACACACACACACACACACACACACACUCAGUGUUUCUUAGACUUAAGUGAUAUGUUUGAACCUGACGAAAAUGAAAGGAAUUGAGAUUGCCCGGCCACAGGAAAUAGAGGCCAAGGGCCAAGUUAAACAGCUGAAACCACGCACAAAGCAGGAGAUCAUGGGAGAUAGCAAACGCUUCGACGCUCUCUUUGUCGGUGUUUGAGGGAGAAAUGACAGCAGAAUUGUCAUGUUUAGACCAGCUGCGGCAAAAUGCGUUUUUCUCCACAGCUCGGUGCUUUCCCAGGCGCAGGCACCCUGGAACCUGGAAUGGUUUCGUUUCUUAGCACAGAGUUUUCAUUUAACAUGGAACAUUGUUGCUUGAAUGAUGCUCAUUAGGAGUCUCUACUCAUGUUUUCCUUUGCCUGCUUCAAUAGUAUCUAGUUCUGUUUUCUGUUUGUUUCUUGUUUUGUUUUCCAAGACUGUUCUUCUUUAGUCCUAGGAGACUAAUACUUUACACACACACACACACACACACACCCAAGCUGACCUCUAAACUCAUGAUAAUCCUCCUGCCUCAGCUUCUCUAGAGCUAGAAUUAUAAGUAUAGGCAAUCAGGCCCAACUGUUUGUGCCACUUAGGUAUAAACCAUUCCAGGGUCAUGGAUCUGUUAGGCAGAGUUUAGUUGACUCCAUACUGUAUCUUCAGAGGGCAUAGUACUGGCAAAACCAUACCCAGAGCUGCAGUUCACUUCUGCUUUGUCCAUUUAGUGUGUCCAUUUCCUCUUUGAGGAAAACCUUUGGUUUUUCAGAACUCCAUUUUCCUUUACAAAGUCAGAGUUGCAAUAGCAAAAUAACUUAAAAAUAUUUUGUUUUCUUGCUCACUAAUUCAUUAUGAAAUAGCUCAAUGCUUAAAAGG